UACGUAGGCAGCGAGCGUUGUUCGGAGUUACUGGGCGUAAAGGGUGUGUAGGCGGUUGUUUAAGUUUGGUGUGAAAUCUCCCGGCUCAACUGGGAGGGUGCGCCGAAUACUGAAUGGCUUCGAGUACGGGAGAGGUGAGUGGAAUUCCUGGUGUAGCGGUGAAAUGCGUAGAUAUCAGGAGGAACACCGGUGGUGUAGACGGCUCACUGGACCGUAACUGACGCUGAGACACGAAAGCGUGGGUAGCAAACAGG
rnacentral:rRNA from 1 species